AUCUCCACCAAUCACAAAACUCACCUGCAACUCGCGACCAAUCAAACGAAACCAAACGCGCAAGUGGUGCCGCAAACCGGAAAGAGGUGGUUUUAGGGCUGAAAACUUGAUGCCCAAUUCUCCUCUCCAAUUGGUUCGAAAAUCUUCAUUGUGGGCGGCAAAUUGGGUAUAAAUACUCAAUUGAGGGGUCCGAAAAUAUUAUGCAAGAAUUUCCACAGAAUUUUGAGAGAAAAAAAUCAGAGAAUUGCGUGAGACUUCGAGGCUAGUGUGGGGGUGCGCGAGUUCGACGGAAGACAACCUUGGGUUGGAGUCCUAGCACACAACCGGGGAGCGUGAAGUUCAAGCUCGAUUGUAGGUUUCAGUUCAACACUACUGCACACACCGCUCUCCUUACUUAGACUCGCUCACCACCACCACACCUGAAUUCGCUCACUACCACGCCUGAAUUCGCUCACCUCCGGUUACCAGCGUUCAAUCUUGUCAUUCUUCCAGUCAGAUUCGAUCACCCCACUCCUUGAUUCGCUCAACACCGCUCACCGUUUAGAGAAUUUAAUUGGAAGUACCAUAUAAUGAUCAGAUUAUAAACGAUACAGUUGGAGAAGUAAUGAAGAUGUUCAAGGAACAACUCCCUCCUGAAACUUUUGCUAAUUUGACUCGAUCACUCGGCGACGUGUCAUCUGAUUUAGUAAUCACGGAGCAUCCUUCUAAAGAUACGAAUGAACAAGAGCUUUAAUAAGAUGAUGGAAAUAAUGGCGGAUUAGAGUAGCAAGCAUGCAUGAUACAUCGAGAAGCAUGCGUACAUGGAUAAUGGAAUUGAAGAAUAAUGAAAGAAUGACCUUAAGAUUGAUUUAGGUUUAUUUAAGGAGAGAUAUAUAUAUUAUGAUUUUAUGAUUUAAUUUUCAGAUUAACUAUUUAUAUUUUGGAUGCAAUAGUAUGUUUUCGAUUGAGUAUACACUUUGGCUCAUUUUUUACAAUGCUCGUUGAGUAUUUCUACUCAUUUAUAUCAAUAAUAUCAUUUUAUUUCCUCUUCAA